rnacentral:misc_RNA from 1 species
CUUUCCAUAUUUUCGCGUCUAAGACGCGUCAUUAAGGAAUUUCGAAUUUGGUUGAUCCUAAACGCGGCAGUGGGCAAAACGUAAUAGCUAUCUAGCAGUUAGCGAGCUGCAGACAUGGGACAAACUAUCGCAAUCAUGCCUCCCUUAGCAAGCGAUAACUGUAAGGUUAACGGCUUUGCGCCAAGUCAUGAGUCUGUCUAUGAUUGACCGUACGUUUGCCACAGCGCUGCAUGCUA